UUAAGUGACUAAGCGUACACGGUGGAUGCCUGGGCAGUCAGAGGCGAUGAAGGACGUACUAACUUGCGAUAAGCGCAGAUAAGGCAGUAAGAGCCGUUUGAGUCUGCGAUUUCCGAAUGGGGAAACCCAACUGCAUAAGCAGUUACUGUUAACUGAAUACAUAGGUUAACAGAGCAAACCGGGGGAACUGAAACAUCUAAGUACCCCGAGGAGAAGAAAUCAACCGAGAUUCCGGUAGUAGCGGCGAGCGAACCUGGAUUAGCCCUUAAGCACUCGGUGAAGUAGGUGAACAAGCUGGAAAGCUUGGCGAUACAGGGUGAUAGCCCCGUAACCGACGCUUCAUCGAGCGUGAAAUCGAGUAGGGCGGGACACGUGAUAUCCUGUCUGAAUAUGGGGGGACCAUCCUCCAAGGCUAAAUACUCCUGACUGACCGAUAGUGAACCAGUACCGUGAGGGAAAGGCGAAAAGACCCCCUGUGAGGGGAGUGAAAUAGAACCUGAAACCGUGUACGUACAAGCAGUAGGAGCACCUUCGUGGUGUGACUGCGUACCUUUUGUAUAAUGGGUCAGCGACUUAUAUUCAGUGGCAAGGUUAACCGUAUAGGGGAGCCGUAGCGAAAGCGAGUCUUAACUGGGCGCUCAGUCUCUGGAUAUAGACCCGAAACCGGGUGAUCUAGCCAUGGGCAGGUUGAAGGUUGAGUAACAUCAACUGGAGGACCGAACCGACUAAUGUUGAAAAAUUAGCGGAUGACUUGUGGCUAGGGGUGAAAGGCCAAUCAAACUCGGAGAUAGCUGGUUCUCCCCGAAAGCUAUUUAGGUAGCGCCUCGGACGAAUACUACUGGGGGUAGAGCACUGUUAAGGCUAGGGGGUCAUCCCGACUUACCAACCCUUUGCAAACUCCGAAUACCAGUAAGUACUAUCCGGGAGACACACGGCGGGUGCUAACGUCCGUCGUGGAGAGGGAAACAACCCAGACCGCCAGCUAAGGUCCCAAAGUAUUGCUAAGUGGGAAACGAUGUGGGAAGGCUCAGACAGCUAGGAUGUUGGCUUAGAAGCAGCCAUCAUUUAAAGAAAGCGUAAUAGCUCACUAGUCGAGUCGGCCUGCGCGGAAGAUGUAACGGGGCUAAGCAAUACACCGAAGCUGCGGCAAUGUCUUUUAGACAUUGGGUAGGGGAGCGUUCUGUAAGCCGUUGAAGGUGAAUCGUAAGGUUUGCUGGAGGUAUCAGAAGUGCGAAUGCUGACAUGAGUAACGACAAAGGGGGUGAAAAACCUCCUCGCCGGAAGACCAAGGGUUCCUGUCCAACGUUAAUCGGGGCAGGGUGAGUCGACCCCUAAGGUGAGGCCGAAAGGCGUAAUCGAUGGGAAACGGGUUAAUAUUCCCGUACUUCUGACUAUUGCGAUGGGGGGACGGAGAAGGCUAGGUGGGCCAGGCGACGGUUGUCCUGGUUCAAGUGCGUAGGCUUGAGAGUUAGGUAAAUCCGGCUCUCUCUAAGGCUGAGACACGACGUCGAGCUACUACGGUAGUGAAGUCAUUGAUGCCAUGCUUCCAGGAAAAGCCUCUAAGCUUCAGAUAGUCAGGAAUCGUACCCCAAACCGACACAGGUGGUCGGGUAGAGAAUACCAAGGCGCUUGAGAGAACUCGGGUGAAGGAACUAGGCAAAAUGGUACCGUAACUUCGGGAGAAGGUACGCUCUUGAUGGUGAAGUCCCUCGCGGAUGGAGCUGACGAGAGUCGCAGAUACCAGGUGGCUGCAACUGUUUAUUAAAAACACAGCACUGUGCAAAAUCGCAAGAUGACGUAUACGGUGUGACGCCUGCCCGGUGCCGGAAGGUUAAUUGAUGGGGUUAGCGCAAGCGAAGCUCUUGAUCGAAGCCCCGGUAAACGGCGGCCGUAACUAUAACGGUCCUAAGGUAGCGAAAUUCCUUGUCGGGUAAGUUCCGACCUGCACGAAUGGCGUAAUGAUGGCCACGCUGUCUCCACCCGAGACUCAGUGAAAUUGAAAUCGCUGUGAAGAUGCAGUGUACCCGCGGCUAGACGGAAAGACCCCGUGAACCUUUACUACAGCUUGGCACUGAACAUUGAACCUACAUGUGUAGGAUAGGUGGGAGGCUAUGAAGACGUGACGCCAGUUGCGUUGGAGCCGUCCUUGAAAUACCACCCUUGUAUGUUUGAUGUUCUAACUUAGACCCAUUAUCUGGGUUGAGGACAGUGCCUGG
rnacentral:rRNA from 1 species